UAGGGAAUCUUCGGCAAUGGACGGAAGUCUGACCGAGCAACGCCGCGUGAGUGAAGAAGGUUUUCGGAUCGUAAAGCUCUGUUGUUAGAGAAGAACGUUGGUAGGAGUGGAAAAUCUACCAAGUGACGGUAACUAACCAGAAAGGGACGGCUAACUACGUGCCAGCAGCCGCGGUAAUACGUAGGUCCCGAGCGUUGUCCGGAUUUAUUGGGCGUAAAGCGAGCGCAGGCGGUUCUUUAAGUCUGAAGUUAAAGGCAGUGGCUUAACCAGUAUGCGCUUUGGAAACUUGAGGACUUGAGUGCAGAAGGGGAGAGUGGAAUUCCAUGUGUAGCGGUGAAAUGCGUAGAUAUAUGGAGGAACACCGGUGGCGAAAGCGGGUCUCUGGUCUGUGACUGACGCUGAGGCUCGAAAGCGUGGGGAGCAAACAGG
rnacentral:rRNA from 1 species